GAUGAACGCUGGCGGCGUGCCUAAUACAUGCAAGUCGAGCGAACAGACGAGGAGCUUGCUCCUUCGACGUUAGCGGCGGACGGGUGAGUAACACGUAGGUAACCUACCUAUAAGACGGGGAUAACUUCGGGAAACCGGAGCUAAUACCGGAUAAGAUUUCGAACCGCAUGGUUCGAUAGUGAAAGAUGGCUGUGAUAGCACUUAUAGAUGGACCUGCGCCGUAUUAGCUAGUUGGUAAGGUAACUGCUUACCAAGGCAACGAUCCGUAGCCGACCUGAGAGGGUGAUCGGCCACACUGGAACUGAGCCACGGUCCAGACUCCUACGGGAGGCAGCAGUCGGGAAUCUUCCGCAAUGGGCGAAAGCCUGACGGAGCAACGCCGAGUGAGUGAUGAAGGUCUUCGGAUCGUAAAACUCUGUUAUUAGGGAAGAACAAACGUGUAAGUAACUGUGCCCGUCUUGACGGUACCUAAUCAGAAAGCCCCGGCUAACUACGUG
rnacentral:rRNA from 1 species